rnacentral:rRNA from 1 species
CGGCAACAGCUCAAAUUUGAAAUCUGGCCUUUGGCCCGAGUUGUAAUUUGUAGAGGAUGCUUUUGGUGCGGUGCCUUCCGAGUUCCCUGGAACGGGACGCCUUAGAGGGUGACAGCCCCGUU